rnacentral:rRNA from 1 species
UACGUAGGGGGCAAGCGUUGUCCGGAAUCAUUGGGCGUAAAGAGCGUGUAGGCGGCUCGGCAAGUCCGCUGUGAAAGUCCAGGGCUCAACCCUGGAAUGCCGGUGGAAACUGUCGGGCUAGAGUCCGGAAGAGGCGAGUGGAAUUCCUGGUGUAGCGGUGAAAUGCGCAGAUAUCAGGAGGAACACCAAUGGCGAAGGCAGCUCGCUGGGACGGUACUGACGCUGAGACGCGAAAGCGUGGGGAGCAAACAGG